rnacentral:rRNA from 1 species
CUACGGGAGGCUGCAGUGGGGAAUAUUGCACAAUGGGCGCAAGCCUGAUGCAGCCAUGCCGCGUGUAUGAAGAAGGCCUUCGGGUUGUAAAGUACUUUCAGCGGGGAGGAAGGGAGUAAAGUUAAUACCUUUGCUCAUUGACGUUACCCGCAGAAGAAGCACCGGCUAACUCCGUGCCAGCAGCCGCGGUAAUACGGAGGGUGCAAGCGUUAAUCGGAAUUACUGGGCGUAAAGCGAACGCAGGCGGUUUGUUAAGUCAGAUGUGAAAUCCCCGGGCUCAACCUGGGAACUGCAUCUGAUACUGGCAAGCGUGAGUCUCGUAGAGGGGGGUAGAAUUCCAGGUGUAGCGGUGAAAUGCGUAGAGAUCUGGAGGAAUACCGGUGGCGAAGGCGGCCCCCUGGACGAAGACUGACGCUCAGGUGCGAAAGCGUGGGGAGCAAACAGGAUUAGAUACCCUUGUAGUC